rnacentral:rRNA from 1 species
AUGCCCGUGCCAGGCUGGUUUCGCGGCAAAUUGAGGUCCAGGUCCAAGCCCAAGCCCGGCGCCGCGUCCGUCUCCUCCGCCGCCUCCUCCCCCUCGCGCAAGUCCGUCGACCUCGACUACCCGUCCCCGUCCCCGUCCCCGACCCCCCGGGCGCGGGAGAAGGCCCGCAGCCUCGACUCGCCGGCCGCGCGCCAUGUCCGGGGCGGCGCCGAGUUCCAGUACAAGCUCCCGGUGCCCGUGAUUACCCCGGACCCACUAUGCGAGGAGGCCACGGAUGUGGCGGGCUGCUCCUCGGCCUCGGGCUCCAGCGUGUGCUCUUCGCCGGAUGACGCGCCGGAUCACCACGUGUCUAGGUCCAUGGAUCCAAUUGCUUUUGCCAAGGGAAGAGAUAUGGCAUCUGACACAGCUAUGAUCUUAAAUGAAGACAAACACUUCAUGUCAUGUAGUAUGCCACGGGAGCAUCACAAGUUCUUUGAGGCGCCUGUUUCUAACAUGAGGGCUCUUCAUGUGCAUAAUAACGAUGAUCCUUCAACUAGCGAAGCCAGUUGUUCACGUGGCAGAAUGUUGACUGAAGAUAUAUUUGGUCCAAGAACGAGAAGCCCAUCCCCUGGCCGAAAAGCCCAUGCCUUUGCUGUGAAUAAUGUACAUUCAAAAGAAUUCGGGUUUAGCCCCAGGUCACCAUUGAAAAUGAGUGAGGGUUUGAGAAGCCCGCCUCAUCCCUUGCCUCUUCCUCCAGCUCCCGGUGCUUGCUCACCUCUACCUCCAUCUCCCAGUGCUUGUUCACCUCUUCCUCCAUCUUCCACUGCUUGCUCGCCUCUUCCUACAUCUCCCACUGCUUGCUCACAGUCCAAAUCACAGUGGAAAAAAGGGAAAUUAUUAGGGAGUGGAACAUUUGGCCAGGUUUACCUUGGAUUUAACAGUGAAAAUGGGCAGUUUUGCGCGAUUAAGGAAGUACAAGUAAUUUCAGAUGAUCCACAUUCGAAAGAACGACUCAAGCAACUGAAUCAGGAAAUAGACAUGCUUAAGAAAGCAUCGCACCCGAACGUUGUGCAAUACUAUGAUAGUGAUAUGACUGAUGAUACCCUUUCAAUUUAUCUUGAGUAUGUUUCUGGGGGCUCAAUUCAUAAGUUACUUAGGGAGUAUGGCCCUUUUAAGGAACCUGUGAUUCGCAGUUAUACUUGUCAAAUUCUCGCUGGUCUUGCGUAUUUGCAUGCGAAGAACACUGUCCACAGAGAUAUUAAAGGAGCAAACAUACUUGUUGGCCCUAAUGGUGAUGUUAAACUUGCCGACUUUGGCAUGGCUAAGCAUAUAUCAUCUUUUGCUGAAAUACGCUCUUUCAAAGGAAGUCCUUACUGGAUGGCUCCUGAGGUUAUUAUGAACAGUAAAGGUUACAAUCUAGCUGUUGACAUUUGGAGUUUGGGAUGUACAAUUAUUGAGAUGGCAACGGCAAGACCUCCUUGGCACCAGUAUGAAGGGGUAGCUGCAAUAUUUAAGAUUGCAAACAGUAAAGAUACACCUGAAAUCCCAGAUAUUUUUUCUGAGGAUGGGAGAAGUUUCUUGAAACUAUGCUUAAAACGUAAUCCAGCAUCUCGCGCCACCGCAAGUCGGUUGAUGGACCAUCCUUUUGUUCAGGACCAUCCAGCAGUAAGAGCAGCAAAAGACAGUGCAUUGAGAAAUGCAUUUUCUGCUCCAGCAGAUGUGAAGCAUACAAUGUCUAACAGGGAGUUGCCAUCACGAAGAAGUAUUACUCCCCUAAGGGAUAUAGGUGUGAGUGCGCGAGAUUUUACCGGAUUUUCUACAACUGUCCCUUCACCCCGUACCUCGAGCAGCCCUAUUCCUGUGCGAACAAACAUGUCUCUACCGGUGUCCCCCUGCUCAAGCCCACUGAGGCAAUUUAAGCAGUCCAACUGGAGCUGCUUGCCGUCUCCGCCCCACCCAAUGCUCUCGUCUGGUGCUGCGGCUUACAAUUCAUCAAGCUACGCACUGAAUCAGGCACAACGAAUGCCGGAUCCCUGGCAGGAUGGCUCCUUGAAACUCCAAAGCCCUUACGGUUCUCCAAAAAGGUUCUAA